GUCACUUUGCCGGAGUGGUUAACGGGAUCGCCUGCUAUUACAGUAUUCCAGCGGUUGGGCUUUGCCCGCGUGUGUUCGAAUCGCACAGGUGACG
rnacentral:tRNA from 1 species